GGCUUAAUACAUGCAAGUCGAACGGUAACAGGAGAGCUUGCUCUCGCUGACGAGUGGCGCACGGGUGCGUAACGCGUAUGCAACUUGCCCUUAACUGAGGGAUAGCCCAGAGAAAUUUGGAUUAAUACCUCAUAAUAUAUUUAGGACACAUGUUUUGAAUAUUAAAGCUUUGGCGGUUAAGGAUGGGCAUGCGNCNUAUUAGUUAGUUGGUGAGGUAACGGCUCACCAAGACAGCGAUAGGUAGGGGGCCUGAGAGGGUGAUCCCCCACACUGGUACUGNGACACGGACCAGACUCCUACGGGAG
rnacentral:rRNA from 1 species